UACGGGGGGGGCAAGCGUUGUUCGGAAUUACUGGGCGUAAAGGGCUCGUAGGUGGCCAACUAAGUCAGACGUGAAAUCCCCAGGCUUAACCUGGGAACUGCGUCUGAUACUGGAUGGCUUGAAUUCGGGAGAGGGAUGCAGAAUUCCAGGUGUAGCGGUGAAAUGCGUAGAUAUGGAGGAAUACCGGUGGCGAAGGCGGCAUCCUGGACCGAUAUUGACACUGAUGAGCGAAAGCCAGGGGAGCAAACGGG
rnacentral:rRNA from 1 species